UUUGUGAUAACGCUAGGAAACUGGCGCUAAUACUGGAUAUGUGCUCCUGCUGCAUGGUGGGGGUUGGAAAGCUCCGGCGGUUGUGGAUGGACUCGCGGCCUAUCAGCUUGUCGGUGGGGUAGUGGCCUACCAAGGCGGCGACGGGUAGCCGGCCUGAGAGGGUGACCGGCCACAUUGGGACUGAGAUACGGCCCAG
rnacentral:rRNA from 1 species